CGCCCCGUCCGCGCAGCUCGUCCGGCCCGCCCGCAGGCCAGCUUCUCUCGGGAGCCUCCACCCAGGCGCAUGGCUCCAUGAAGCAAGAGGAGGAGGCAGAGCGCGAGAGAUCCCGUCCGCCCCAGCCGCGUCUGGGCCAGGAGAAAAGCAAAACCAUAUUCCUGCUGCUGUCAGUUUUGAUGCACUGAGAAAACUUCAGAGACCUAAGCUUUUUCCAGAGAAGAGAAGCUUUACUGGUGUUCCAGCCCUAAGGCUCAUAUGACAUUAACAGACAAGACACUUUUCAGAAAGACAGGCAACGUGUUGGACCUUCCGGAGCUUCUCAGAAGACAGAGGGUUUUCUUUUGAGGAGAGCUGUCCCUGCAAGCUGAACUAUCAGAAGAUGAAGAAUGAGGUCUCCCUGAAAUGCCCACCAUAAGACUGCCAGAUAUGGGACUGCUGGAUGACACUCUGGCUACCCCACUGAGUUUUAUGAAAACAUAACAGAAUAAAGACACUUACUUGUCAACUCAGUUACAAGCUAUUGAGGCACUCCAGAGUGACGGCAUGUGAUCCCCCUGACACAAGAAACAGGCCCAGAUAACACACCGUUCAGACCGACAGCAGUUCUGGUUAUGCUGCAGUACAUCAGAAAAGUGCUCUUAUCCAUCCACAGUUCUUAUCACAGUUACUUAUGCAUAUAUUCAUUUUUUAUAUAAAAGAAUCUUGAAUCGGUCACUUAAAUAUUGAAUCUCAAUAAUAAAAAAUACUAAAAGUAUAGCUAAA
rnacentral:lncRNA from 1 species